AGUAUGAAUUGCUUGGCAUUUCGAUUGGCUUGAAGGACUGACUUAUUUUGUAGAGCGCCCGUAGCUCAUGGCAGGUUAUGUGUUGCCUCUGGUCCUAUGUGGACCUAUAAUCCAGAGACUAACAAGAAAGGAAUGCUAAAGUCGAGCAGGCUCAACUCUUAAAUACCCUGUACCACCCCACAAAAAAGUAAUUAAAUUAAUUAAUUAAAUUAGUUACCUAAAAUAAUUUAA